rnacentral:rRNA from 1 species
AUGAACGCUGGCGGCGUGCCUAAUACAUGCAAGUCGAACGCUGGAAAUCUAGCUUGCUAGAUUGAAGGAGUGGCGAACGGGUGAGUAAUACAUAAGCAACCUACCCACGAAGACUGGGAUAAUCUCUGGAAACGGGGACUAAUACCGGAUAGGUAAUCGGAAGGCAUCUUCUGAUUAUUAAAGGUUAAAAACACUGGUGGAUGGGCUUAUGGCGCAUUAGUUAGUUGGUGAGGUAACGGCCCACCAAGACGAUGAUGCGUAGCCGGCCUGAGAGGGUGAACGGCCACAUUGGGACUGAGACACGGCCCAGACUCCUACGGGAGGCAGCAGUAGGGAAUUUUCGGCAAUGGGGGAAACCCUGACCGAGCAACGCCGCGUGAGUGAUGACGGCCUUCGGGUUGUAAAGCUCUGUUGUAAGGGAAGAACGGUAGAUAGAGAAUAUCUAAAUGACGGUACCUUACCAGAAAGCCACGGCUAACUACGUG